UACGGAGGGUGCAAGCGUUAUCCGGAUUUACUGGGUUUAAAGGGUGUGUAGGCGGGCUAUUAAGUCAGCGGUGAAAUCUCCGGGCUCAACCUGGAAACUGCCAUUGAUACUAUUAGUCUUGAAUUUUGUUGAGGUAGGCGGAAUAAGUCAUGUAGCGGUGAAAUGCAUAGAUAUGACUUAGAACACCAACUGCGAAGGCAGCUUGCUAAACAAAUAUUGACGCUGAGGCACGAAAGCGUGGGGAUCAAACAGG
rnacentral:rRNA from 1 species